AUUGAACGCUGGCGGCAUGCCUUACACAUGCAAGUCGAACGAUGAACCCGGAGCUUGCUCCGGUGGAUUAGUGGCGAACGGGUGAGUAACACGUGAGUAACCUGCCCUUGACUCUGGGAUAACUGCGGGAAACUGUAGCUAAUACCGGAUAGGACCACUGCCUGCAUGGGUGGUGGUGGAAAGCUUUUGCGGUGUGGGAUGGGCCCGCGGCCUAUCAGCUUGUUGGUGGGGUGAUGGCCUACCAAGGCGACGACGGGUAGCCGGCCUGAGAGGGUGACUGGCCACACUGGGACUGAGACACGGCCCAGACUCCUACGGGAGGCAGCAGUGGGGAAUAUUGGACAAUGGGCGCAAGCCUGAUGCAGCAACGCCGCGUGAGGGAUGACGGCCUUCGGGUUGUAAACCUCUUUUAGUAGGGAAGAAGCGAAAGUGACGGUACCUGCAGAAAAAGCACCGGCUAACUACGUGCCAGCAGCCGCCGUAA
rnacentral:rRNA from 1 species